rnacentral:rRNA from 1 species
CGCGCAGGCGGGUUGGCAAGUCAGAGGUGAAAUCCUACAGCUUAACUGUAGAACUGCCCUUGAUACUGCUAAUCUUGAGUAUGGAAGAGAGAGACGGAAUUCCAGGUGUAGUGGUGAAAUACGUAGAUAUCUGGAAGAACACCAGUUGCGAAGGCGGUCUCUUGGUCCAAUACUGACGCUGAGGCGCGAAAGCGUGGGGAGCAAACAGGAUUAGAUACCCUGGUAGUCC